UACGGGGGGGGCAAGCGUUGUUCGGAAUUACUGGGCGUAAAGGGCUCGUAGGCGGCCAACUAAGUCAGACGUGAAAUCCCCAGGCUCAACCUGGGAACUGCGUCUGAUACUGGAUGGCUUGAAUUCGGGAGAGGGAUGCAGAAUUCCAGGUGUAGCGGUGAAAUGCGUAGAUAUCGGGAGGAACACCAGUGGCGAAGGCGGUUCUCUAGUACGGUACUGACGCUGAGACGCGAAAGCGUGGGGAGCGAACAGG
rnacentral:rRNA from 1 species